AGGUACUUCAGCAAGGGGUCAAUCCAGCAAGGCUCUUCUUUAAUCUGUGGAACAGCAAGAGGUUCUUCCAGACUUGAGUUUUUUAAUACCUCAAUGUAAGUUUCUUUUUGAAAUUCAAGCAGUAGAGAGGCUGCUAGCUUUGACAGCGCAUCCACCCAUGUAUUUGUGUCUGAGGUACCUGUUGGAUAUCAAAGCUCAGAAAAGAUGUAGUUAGUUCUU
rnacentral:lncRNA from 1 species